rnacentral:rRNA from 1 species
AACGAACGCUGGCGGCAUGCCUAACACAUGCAAGUCGAACGAGAUCUUCGGGUCUAGUGGCGCACGGGUGCGUAACGCGUGGGAAUCUGCCCUUUGGUUCGGAAUAACAGUUGGAAACGACUGCUAAUACCGGAUGAUGACGAAAGUCCAAAGAUUUAUCGCCAGAGGAUGAGCCCGCGUAGGAUUAGCUAGCUGGUGCGGUAAAGGCGCACCAAGGCGACGAUCCUUAGCUGGUCUGAGAGGAUGAUCAGCCACACUGGGACUGAGACACGGCCCAGACUCCUACGGGAGGCAGCAGUGGGGAAUAUUGGACAAUUGGCGAAAGCCUGAUCCAGCAAUGCCGCGUGAGUGAUGAAGGCCUUAGGGUUGUAAAGCUCUUUUACCCGGGAUGAUAAUGACAGUACCGGGAGAAUAAGCUCCGGCUAACUCCGUGCCAGCCGCCGCGGUAA